UACGAAGGGGGCUAGCGUUGCUCGGAAUCACUGGGCGUAAAGGGUGCGUAGGCGGGUCUUUAAGUCAGGGGUGAAAUCCUGGAGCUCAACUCCAGAACUGCCUUUGAUACUGAGGAUCAUGAGUUCGGGAGAGGUGAGUGGAACUGCGAGUGUAGAGGUGAAAUUCGUAGAUAUUCGCAAGAACACCAGUGGCGAAGGCGGCUCACUGGCCCGAUACUGACGCUGAGGCACGAAAGCGUGGGGAGCAAACAGG
rnacentral:rRNA from 1 species